UUUUCCCCAAAGAGCAUGUUGUUAGAAAUAAAAAUGAUUUCUUCCACUGAAUGAAUUUAAAAUGUCAGCUCACGAGCAGUUUAAAACAAAACAAAACAAGACUCCUAAUAAUGAUCACUUUCCCUACAGUGAGGCAUUCAUCCUCAAGGAUCCCAAAGCACCGUUCAAAUGAAGAUGCUGUGAUGUCUAGGUGUUGGGAAAAUCUUUACCAGUGCUGAAUGCUAGAUGAACACAACUUAAUGUAAAUAAUCCUAAUAGCAAUAAUAAGCAGGUUGCUAAAGGAACCAUGACCCGGACUGUUUUUCCUGCACAAAGUUCAAAGUAUGUAUAAUCCUCAGUCUGCCACCCUGCGAAAAAUGAAGAACACUUGCCUUACAUGAUUUCCAAAGGACAUGACUUUAUUUAGUAUACAAUAUUCACAUGGUUCAGUACAACAAAUUAUAAAAUAGUUUUCUAUAAGAUCUCACCCAUAGGAUGCUGAAACCAGAAAACCAUCGGCCUUCGGACAGCUGACGGGCUCCCCUCUCACCGAGAAAACGCUCUCCGUGACCAGACGGAUGCUGAGGUCUCCCUGGCCUAAAGGUUGUGCUGCAGGAAAGAACAUUCUACACCAGCUAUGUUUUAAAUGUCUCACAUCAAGAUCUGCAUACAAUUUUCCAGCCUGGUAUCUACAACCCGAAGUGGAAUACUAAAAAGUGAAUUUUCAGGAAGUAACCGCAAAAGACACAAAAUUAAAAAGAAACCAGCAUAUUCCUACCAUCACGUACCUUACGUGUGCUUGAUUUCAAUUAUUGUAAGGCACUCUCUAAAGGAGGUACUGACCCAUGCUGUCAGCUGAAACAGCCAUGCAUCAUUACUGGCUUAAUUAAAGUUUUAAUACUGA